rnacentral:rRNA from 1 species
ACCCACACAAGCGGUGGAUGAUGUGGAUUAAUUCGAUGCAACGCGAAAACCUUACCUACCCUUGACAUGUCCGGAAUCCCGAAGAGAUUUGGGAGUGCUCGCAAGAGAACCGGAACACAGGUGCUGCAUGGCUGUCGUCAGCUCGUGUCGUGAGAUGUUGGGUUAAGUCCCGCAACGAGCGCAACCCUUGUCAUUAGUUGCCAUCAUUUGGUUGGGCACUCUAAUGAGACUGCCGGUGACAAACCGGAGGAAGGUGGGGAUGACAUCAAGUCCUCAUGGCCCUUAUGGGUAGGGCUUCACACGUCAUACAAUGGUCGGUACAGAGGGUUGCCAACCCGCGAGGGGGAGCUAAUCCCACAAAGCCGAUCGUAGUCCGGAUCGCAGUCUGCAACUCGACUGCGUGAAGUCGGAAUCGCUAGUAAUCGUGGAUCAGCAUGUCACGGUGAAUACGUUCCCGGGUCUU